UACGUAGGGGGCAAGCGUUGUCCGGAAUCAUUGGGCGUAAAGAGCGUGUAGGCGGCCAGAAAAGUCCGCUGUGAAAACUCGAGGCUCAACUUCGAGCUGUCGGUGGAAACUUUCUGACUAGAGUCCGGAAGAGGAGAGUGGAAUUCCUGGUGUAGCGGUGAAAUGCGCAGAUAUCAGGAAGAACACCCGUGGCUAAGGCGGCUCUCUAGUACGUGACUGACGCUGAGACGCGAAAGCGUGGGGAGCGAACAGG
rnacentral:rRNA from 1 species